rnacentral:rRNA from 1 species
AAGCGCUUGCAACCAGACUUGCACGCAGUUGAUCAUCCGGUGUUCUCACCGGGGCACUCUGCUGCGUUCAGGCCAGCAUCGUUUUUGGUGGUUGGAUAAAGGCCUUGGGAAUGUAGCUUCUUUCGGGGAGUGUUAUAGCCCACCGUGUAAUACCCUGGGGGGGACUGAGGUUCGCGCAUCUGCAAGGAUGCUGGCGUAAUGGU